AGUGAACGCUGGCGGUAGGCCUAACACAUGCAAGUCGAACGGCAGCACAGUAAGAGCUUGCUCUUACGGGUGGCGAGUGGCGGACGGGUGAGGAAUACAUCGGAAUCUACUUUUUCGUGGGGGAUAACGUAGGGAAACUUACGCUAAUACCGCAUACGACCUACGGGUUAAAGCAGGGGAUCUUCGGACCUUGCGCGAUUGAAUGAGCCGAUGUCGGAUUAGCUAGUUGGCGGGGUAAAGGCCCACCAAGGCGACGAUCCGUAGCUGGUCUGAGAGGAUGAUCAGCCACACUGGAACUGAGACACGGUCCAGACUCCUACGGGAGGCAGCAGUGGGGAAUAUUGGACUAUGGGCGCAAGCCUGAUCCAGCCAUACCGCGUGGGUGAAGAAGGCCUUCGGGUUGGAAAGCUCUUUUGUUGGGAAAGAAAAGCAGCAGGUUAAUACCCCGCUGUCCUGACGGUACCCAAAGAAUAAGCACCGGCUAACUUCG
rnacentral:rRNA from 1 species